rnacentral:misc_RNA from 1 species
GAUGAAGAACGUAGCGAAAUGCGAUAAGUAGUGUGAAUUGCAGAAUUCAGUGAAUCAUCGAAUCUUUGAACGCACAUUGCGCCCUUUGGUAUUCCAAAGGGCAUGCCUGUUCGAGCGUCAUUUGUACCCUCAAGCUUUGCUUGGUGUUGGGCGUCUUGUCUCUAGCUUUGCUGGAGACUCGCCUUAAAGUAAUUGGCAGCCGGCCUACUGGUUUCGGAGCGCAGCACAAGUCGCACUCUCUAUCAGCAAAGGUCUAGCAUCCAUUAAGCCUUUUUUUCAACUUUUGACCUCGGAUCAGGUAGGGAUACCCGCUGAACUUAAGCAUACCAAUAAGCGGAGGA